rnacentral:rRNA from 1 species
CCUGGGGAGUACGGCCGCAAGGUUAAAACUCAAAUGAAUUGACGGGGGCCCGCACAAGCGGUGGAGCAUGUGGUUUAAUUCGAUGCAACGCGAAGAACCUUACCUACUCUUGACAUCCAGAGAACUUAGCAGAGAUGCUUUGGUGCCUUCGGGAACUCUGAGACAGGUGCUGCAUGGCUGUCGUCAGCUCGUGUUGUGAAAUGUUGGGUUAAGUCCCGCAACGAGCGCAACCCUUAUCCUUUGUUGCCAGCGGUCAGGCCGGGAACUCAAAGGAGACUGCCAGUGAUAAACUGGAGGAAGGUGGGGAUGACGUCAAGUCAUCAUGGCCCUUACGAGUAGGGCUACACACGUGCUACAAUGGCGCAUACAAAGAGAAGCGACCUCGCGAGAGCAAGCGGACCUCAUAAAGUGCGUCGUAGUCCGGAUUGGAGUCUGCAACUCGACUCCAUGAAGUCGGAAUCGCUAGUAAUCGUAGAUCAGAAUGCUACGGUGAAUACGUUCCCGGGCCUUGUACACACCGCCCGUCACACCAUGGGAGUGGGUUGCAAAAGAAGUAGGUAGCUUAACCUUCGGGAGGGCGCUUACCACUUUGUGAUUCAUGACUGGGGUGAAGUCGUAACAAGGUAACCGUAGGGGAACCUGCGGUUGGAUCACCUCCUUACCUUAAAGAA